GAUUUAAAUUACGCAGAUUAAUUUGUCACAUAUCGGCCUCAAGAAUCGUUUUGGCGUUUAUUUUGCCAGGAUUCAAGGGGAUUUCAAAAAACCUCAAGGUAUUAAUGAUAAAGUGCUUACCACUGCUUGGGAAACAUAACGGACAAAGAUUAGACAAUUUGAAAAAUGUCAAAACCUCCAGAUGUUGUCAAUAACGUCAAGUCUUCAAAUAAUCAUGAUAUUGACUCAUAUCUGCUAGAAUUAGCAGAAAAAAUUACCACAGAAUGGAAACGUUUGGCAAUAUUCCUACAUAUUAAAGACGAGAAAAUAAACAAAAUUGACAUAAACGAGAUUGAUGUCGUCUGGAAGGGGUAUACUAUGCUAAAAGUUUGGUGGGAUUCAGGUGGCAAUGAGAAUAUAUGGUACGAAGAACUAGCGACUGCGUUUCGCCGCAUUGGGAAAGGUGCUUUAGCAAAAACGAUUGUCAAAGAAGGACCAAAUGUCACUAUAAAUAAUGAAAUGUAAUUAUGGUAAUUCCACACAUUUUCAAGGCUUGCAGUUAAAUCUUCUAUUUUAUCCUCCAUAUUAUAUAUCUUAAGAUUAUGUUUUUUUUUGUGUGGCUUGGCAAAGAGCAAUUUCUUUGUCCAAGAAUCAUGCAAUUAGAUUACCUAGACAAUGCACGAUCAAAAAAUAGUUGUUCAGGAAAACAUUAAGAAACUAGAGCAAAGUAAAUAUGUCUGGUACAAAAAUAUAUGUUAUAAAUUGAUUUUAAA